rnacentral:rRNA from 2 species
CCAAUAGCGUAUAUUAAGGUUGCUGCGGUUAAAAAGCUCGUAGUUGAAUUUCGGGAUUGACACAUCGGUCGUGCCUUAAGGGGUAUGAACUGGCGUAGCCAAUUCCUCGUCUUCUGGUGAAUUGUGAUGCCUCUUUAACUGGGUGUUUCAAUGAACUAGGACUUUUACUUUGAAAAAAUUAGAGUGUUUAAAGCAGGCAU